AUACUUACCUGGCAAGGGAGAUACCGUGAUCAAGAAGGCGGUUCACUCAGGGCGAGGCUCAGCCAUUGCACUCCGGCUGUGCUGACCCCUGCGAAGCGUUCGCGCUCUCCCCUGAUGUCUUGUUUAAUGAU
rnacentral:snRNA from 8 species